UUUUAACCUCUAUUUUAUUUUUUAUUAAAAUAUUGUUAGGCUAGCUUAAAAGUGUGGUGUUUUUUUAACCAAAGUUGGACAUAUGGACCAUUUUAAAAUGAAUAUGUAUUUGCAAAAAUGUUAACCAAAUAAAAAAAUUAAUCUGAACCAAAAUAAAUAAAUAAAGUUAUAAUUGCAAGAACUAAAAAGAUAAUUAAACCUAAUUUUUAAGUUUAAUUAUUAUUUUGUUAUCUUAUUUUUAGCAAUUAACGAAAUUGGUCCCCUUAUUUUAAAAUAUGACAAUUUUGGUAUGUCAUUAUGAUUUUUUAACCAAAAAAAUGGCGAUGUGGCAUGCUUCAAAAAUCGUGGCAUAUGAUAUGAUGAUGUAAAAUGAUUAACACUCUUCAAAUCACAAUAAAACCAUUUAAAAAUUAGGCUUUCAACUUCAAAAAAAAUUCAUUUUUGUAAUUUAAUUAAUAAUAUAUGAAUAAUUAUACAUUUAGAUGAUUUUAUAUCAUGAAACUGUAUGUUGCAUAAUUUAAAAUACGUCAAAUUGUCAUUUUUUAGUUUAUAUAAAAGGAUUAUUUUCGUGAGUUAAUGAAAAUAAAGGACCACAACUACAAUUAAGCUUAAUUUUUAUAAUAUGGACUCAUUUGUUUUAGAUUUAAAAAAAAAUUGAUUUUAAUAUUCCAUAAUUUAAAUGUUAUCUUUUAGAUAGUUUUAAGAAAAUGAAAAAAUGUCUUGCGUUUGUCAAUCGUAGUUAAAAUAUAUAUUUUUUAAAUAAGUUAAUUACAAAAAAUGAUUUUUUGUUUAUAAAUUACUAAAACCAACUUCUCAAAAAGUUAAUUUUUAGAUUUCAUUUAGAAAAAAGCUGUAACAAAUCCAAUCUUUCAAAAGUGGUUUUUUUUUUUUAAUUUAAAAAAAAAAAAGAGAUAAACACAUCUCUAAUUCAAAAUACCAAACUUAAAUUUAGAAUGUUCAAUUAUGAUGGAACAGUCGCCAAUAUAUCAAAUGCAUUAAUUCAUUAUGACCUUAAACCAAUCAUCUCUCAUAGAUGAAGAAGAAAAGAGGUUCUAAGAAGAAGUUGAUGAGUGGGCAACGUGUUGUAUUGUGUUAUGUUAUAAUUUGAAACUACACUAAAAUUAUGCGAGGAGUAGAAACUCCUCUAACAUCAUCAACCAACAAAUGUGAAAGCAUAUGUGGACAAUAAUUAUAAAAUAUGCAUCCAUCAAUAAUCACACCCAAUUUUGGCAAGAGCAUCUGCACAAGCAUUUAUUUCACGAUAUGAAUGACAAAUCCUUACUUCUCAUUUCAUCUCAAGGAGAAUUUGAAUAUGCUGAAAGAUGCGCCAAGCUAUAGUACUCACACCGCACCUAUUUGUAAGGAUUUUAACAACCCCUUCUGAAUCAACAUACAGUUCCACAGCUAGAAAACUCUUGUUCCUUGCCAACUUCAAGCCCUCCAUUACCUCAAAUCUUUGGAGAAACCACAAUCUAAUUACCUUGAUAAUCCCGAAACAAACUGCCACACCCAGCACGCAGUUGUAAUUCAGAUGAACUUAAAAUUGAUCACAUACAAAGCAGGGUGUUAGAUUGCAGAAAACCAAGAACUUAUCAUUGAUAUUUGAUAAGAUUUAAUUAAUUUGAAUUUCGAAAAACAAAUUUCUACUUAAGCGAUAAUUAUAGGAAUUGUUAACAUUAUUUUAUAGGUAAUAUAUGUAUUUGGAAAAGAAUAUAACGUUUUUAUAGAAUUAAAUAUGUCAAUUGGUGUAUCAUUUUCUACUUGUAGUAUCUCUCUUAGAAUUUUAAGUUAUACAAAUAAAUUUAAUUCAUCAAUGCCUGAGUUGUCCUUAUGAUUUAAAAAAUGUUCAAGAUUAAUGCAAUUUUCUUUUGAUUUUUCAUGAUCCAAUAAUUUAAAAUUUCUUGAUAUUAAUUAGAAAACCAAAAAUACCUACAUACAAAUUAAAUUGUUCAAAUCUAUAAGAUAUUAUUUGAAAUACCUACAUACAAAUCCAACACAGAUUCAACACAGAUUCAACAAUAGAACCUAAUCAAUAAGAUAUUAUUUGAAAUAAUUUUUUUUUUAGUUUCUGCUUUAGCCAAAUAGAAAUGGUUGAUCUUACUACAAUUGAAAAAAAAAAAAGACUAACAAUUUAGAAUAUAAAUAUUUACUUAGUACUUAUCAGAUGAAAAAGAAACGAAUAAAUUAAAAACACAUGCCUGAAUAUAUUAUGGCCACUAACAAGAGCUCAUCACACAAGCAAAAUUCAAAACGAAAAAUCAAAUCAAAUCAAGGAAUAAGUAUGUAGGGUCAAAUUGAAAAAACAAUUAUUUUGUGGGGUUGAUAGCAAAGUUUCAGAUAAAUAUUUCAAUAUGAUAUUUUAAUAGACAUUUUUAGUGAAAAAUAAUGCAUUUAAUAUAAGAUGUUUUUUAGUGAAAAGCAAUGUCCUUUAUAAUGAAAAGAUGCUUACAACGGUAUACUAUAUUCAUCAUAAAUAGUUGUACAAUCAAAACAAUUAUCAAUUCAAAUAAUAAUUAUGCCAAAAAUUAGAAAUUAAAAGUUUAUUGGAGAAUUUUUAUGUGCAUAGUUAAAGAAUUUUUGUAAUAUAUUAUUGGGCCAUACAGCAUAAACUACAUUUAAUUAGUUUGGAUUGAAUAAGAUAUUGAGCAUUCUAAGAUGCAUCCCACAGCUGUACCUGUGACUCCCACAGCUGUACCUGCCCCCCAAGACACAUGAGAAGACAAUUUAUAAUAGGUUUUCAAAACUGAUAGUUUUAGAAGUUUCAAAAUUGAUAGUUUUAGAAGUUUCAAAUUUUCAAAACUUUUGGAAGUUUUUAAUUUUCAAAACAAGGAUUACAUUUCAAAAAUUUGAAAAGUUUCCAAAUUUGGAAAGUUUCAAAAGUUUCUAAAUCUGGAAAGCUUCAAAAAUUUCUAAAUCUGGAAAGCUUCGAAAGUUUCCAAAUAUAAAAAAUUUCAAAAUUUUUCUAUUUAUAAAGUUUUGAAUUGUUCGAAAGUUUCAAAAUAUUUGGAAUUUUCUAUUUCAUAAGUUUCGAAUAUUCUGGAAAUUUUAUGUUUCAGAACUUUGAAGAUUUUGAAAGUUUCGAAGGUUAAGGUAAUUUUGCUAAAGUUGCUAAAUUUUAGGUUGAUUGGAUUGACAAAUUUAAGUGUGGGGUGCAGAUAGAAUCCUCUAAGAUAUUUUAUAGAAAUUAUCCAAAUCGAAUCAAACCAUAAUACUUGUAUGGUCCAUCUAUUAGAUAUGAUAAGAAACAUGAUGAUGAUAUAACUAUCGUAUCAUAUAGUAUUCUCAAUUAUUAUCAUAAAUAUGAGUUGGAUUGCAUACCUGCUUGAUAGUAUAAAAACAAUAAUAUACUUAGUCAUCUUUUAUAAAAUAUAAUUUAAAAUAAAUAAAUUUGAAAACUAAUAAAAUGUAAAUUUAAUGACAAUAAAAUUUGAUAUCCAAAUUUAAAAUAAAAUAUUAAUAGUUAAUUUUAAAAAAUAUGUAUAAUUUUAUCACAAAAGUAACAAACACAUAACAUAAUAAAAUAAUGAUAUAAUAUAUUAUCAUAUAUACAUCAAAUACAAUAUAAGAUAAUAAAAUAAUGAUAUAAUAUAUUAUCAUAUAUACAUCAAAUACAAUAUAAGAUGAUAUUUAUCUUAUUACUAUCUUAUCUUAACUCUAUUUUGUUUUUACAUAAAAAAAAAACACUUUUUAUAUUUGGAUCUAAUAGUUUGUAAAAAAUGUUAAUAUAUAUCAAAAAUAAAAAAUUUAUAUUAAAAAUGAAUUUUUUCUCAAAAAUUAUACAUUGUAUUUUUAUAAUUACUAUUUAUAAAAUGCUUAACAUAUUCCCUAAUUUGCAUGAGCCUGGUUGUUUUUCUUCAAAACUAAUCUAAACUGCUCCAUGAUCUAGUUGAGUCACUCCGCUCCAACUCCAACUGCCUAAUUUUGCUAGGUUAAAAAAACUAUAAAACAAUGAAAAAACCUAUUCGCCACUCUACCCCACCAAAGGUACCCACCUCAUCAUCAGCGAUUCUCGUCCAAGUUAACAAUAACAACACUACUCCAUCUGCAUUAUUGGAGAAUCUACGGCCACUAUUUCCAGCGUGUGUCAUACGACCAAGUACCAUUUCACAUUCACAUUGACCAAUUCCAAAAUUCUAUUAAAUAAUAAUAAUAUUAAAUUCAAAAAUAAUAAGAAUAUCAUAGUUUAAUUCCCCACCAUCUCUCUCUCCGUGGAAAAUAUUACUAGGCGCAAGAUUUUUCUAUCCCCUUUGUAGCACGCCGAUUUGAUUUCUCUCUACCUCAGUGAACACCUCAUGACUUUUUAGGUAAUAUAUACUAUUUUACUAACAUCUUUUUCUUCCUUGUAAUGUGAAAAUGUUUUUCCUUUUUUUUUUUUAAUUAUAUAUUCCUUUUAUGUUUGUCAUUCUUUAAAUUAAUCAUUAUUAUUGCUAUUGAUUAAUGUAGUCAAUGGGAAGCAAUCAUGGCUGUUACCGCAUUAAUAGUAUCAAUAUGAAUUAAAUAAACAUUAUUUUAUUGUCAUGAUUUGAUUUUGAUGUAAAAAAUUUGUCAUGUAGUUUUUUAAUCUGGUAUAUGGUGUGAUUUCCAGGUAUUUACGGAAGGUAGGGUUUGACUUUGUUAGCAGUGGAGGUUACGGAAGGACAAGUUUUUUGAUUCAUCAACGUUUCUGUUAAGUCUUGACCACUACACAUGUUUGUUGUCUUUUAAUUCAGAUUUUUUUGGUGCUUUCAACAUUGAAUGGAAUUGGAUCUGUUGUCUCAGAUCAAUUCAUUCUUGCCUGUUUUUGAUUGGUUUGAAUGGUUCUCUCAUAUCAUGUGGGAAAAUUUUCAUUUUUCAUGAUUCCAAAUUUGUGCCCCCUUAAUGUUUGUUGAUGGGUCUGAAUAAAUAUAGUACCUAUGAAGAACAUUUUGAGAGAAUUGAGGACUACCCUUUUGGUUCUGAGUCUUUUUAUGAGAUAGUGGAUAAGUAAAGUGUGAUUUUUUUAUAGCUGCAAGGUGUCUUUUGAAAGUUUUCUUCUGAAGCUUUUGGAAUAAUAAGAUGGAUGAAACUAGUAGUUCUUGGAUAAGGAGGACGAAAUUCUCUCACACCGUGUGUCACCGAUUGGAUUAUUCAAGAAUUGGCUCUUUCAUUAUUCGGCCAGAGGCAGUGCAGAAUCCGGAUCUGAGAGUAAGGUCAGCAGCAUCAUCAGCUGCGUCAUCAACAGCAGCAUCAGCACCUCCUGUUGUUUCUAAGGUUUCAAAGGUUUCAAAGGUUCGGAAGAAUCCUAUAACUAAUAAACAGAGAUCUUUAUCUCCUUUGCCUGAAUCCUCUCUUUCUGAAACCUUUAAGGAAGCCAAGCAUGAACAGAAGAGGUUCUCGACGCCAGGUCCAAGGAGAAAAGAGCAGGAUACAAGAAUCAUGGGGAAGCUACUGAACAAGGAUUCUCAAGUGUCCAAUUCUAAAUCGCCUCAUAGAAGUCCAAGCAAUUACUUUGCAUCAAUGAAAUUCAGUGACAAGUCAAAGAACCGCAAGGACUCGGGAUGGACAAAGUAUUUCGACCACGGUGGAGGAAAGGUUACCGCUGUGGAAACGGCUGAAGAAUGGAAUGUUGACCUCUCUAAGCUCUUUGUUGGUCUUAGGUUUGCUUACGGGGCUCAUAGUAGGCUUUACCAUGGUAUGUAUGAGGACGAACCUGUUGCAGUGAAAAUUAUCAGGGUCCCAGAUGAUGACGAAAAUGGCACGUUGGCUGCUAGAUUAGAGAAACAAUUCAUUGCAGAAGUCACACUUUUAUCUCGCCUCCACCAUCAAAAUGUUCUUAAGGUAAUUAAAUCCAAUCAUUUCUCUUCUUUUACCUGCAUAUUCUUAUUAUGUUGUUUUCAAGUUUUUUCACCUCAAUUAUGAUAAGGUUGGCCAAAACAUUAUACACAUGUCAUAAUUUUUUAUGGAAGAACAUCGCCACAAGCACUUAAAAAGUUGUCUUUAGCUUUGUGCAGAACUAUUUGUUAUUCUUGUUGAAUACAAGGUUGGCAUAUACAUUAUUUUGUAAUUAUUAUUGGACUUGAUUCUUUAGUUUUGUUGAAAUAAUCGGCUAUAAGAAAUAAGCAUACUACUUUGUACGUCAUUUGUUGUACAUCUUUGUCUGAUUAUGCAGUCCUACUUGACAAAUUUACUCUAAUAAGGAAGGUAAUAUGUCCAUGUUUUCUCAUAUAUCUUGAUCUGAUUGCACAGUUUGUAGCAGCAUGCAGAAAGCCACCUGUUUAUUGUGUUAUCACAGAAUAUCUAUCGGAAGGUUCCUUGAGGGCUUAUUUGCAUAAGUUGGAGGGAAAAACAAUUCCUCUACAAAAGCUAAUUGCUUUUUCUCUGGAUAUUGCUCAUGGAAUGGAAUAUAUACACUCUCAAGGUGUCAUUCAUCGAGACCUUAAACCCGAGAACAUUCUUAUCAAUGGAGACUUUCACCUCAAAAUUGCUGAUUUUGGCAUUGCUUGUGAGGAAGCAUACCACGACUUACUCGCUGAUGACCCUGGUACCUACCGCUGGAUGGCACCUGAGAUGAUCAAACGAAAGUCCUAUGGGAGAAAGGUUGAUGUAUAUAGUUUUGGGCUUAUCUUAUGGGAGAUGCUUAAUGGUACAAUACCAUAUGAAGAUAUGACUCCCAUCCAGGCUGCUUAUGCUGUAGUAAAUAAGGUAUGCUCCUUUGCAAUUAUGUUGUGUGAAUCUGUGAUAUCAAUAUCGAAACCUCUUUAAUAUUAUAACAUUAUUCUUCGUUGCCAUUACAGCAUUCUUUAUGAACUUAUAAGUUAAUUUUUGUGCACAAUGCAUGGAAUCCCGUAUAAUAAUAGGAAAACUUCCAUGACCCCUUCUCUCCUUCCAAACACCGCUGCUUCUAUGAUAUCUAAUCUUUUUGAGUUGGUGGUUGUUUCUAACCUCUUUGAAUGAUCAGCAUAUCAGUGAUGCAAGCUGGACUUGUGUUCAGUUAAUGAUUUACUUUGCUCCUCAAUAACUUAUGUACUCUUCAAUACCACAAUUUUUUUUAUGAAUAUAAACAAUAUUCUCACAUGUGUACCGGGUUCUUGGCUUGUUCUCUUCCUGGGAAAUGUUUCAGCCUUCAAAUCUUACGCUUAAUUUGAUUAAAAUUACUUUUUUUUUUCCAAUGAUUCAUUCACUUAAUUAUAAAGUUCUGUUGAAGUCGUAGUUGCCAAAAGUUAUGAUUUCCAGAGGAAGAGGAGGCUUUUUUUCCUGGGUUUCACUUUUUGAGGAUAUCAAACAUAACUGCUAGUUUGUAACCCUUUGAUGUCACGAAAGAAUAUGUUUUAUAGCAAAACCAAAUGCAAAUUUGAGAUUUAGCCAAAUCCUUGGCGAGAUAUCUCCUUUGCUUUUAAAGCAACCAUGGAGUAAUAGAAUAACGAAUAAUUAUAUCUAUCCAUCUUUGGUGUGUUUGUUGAACUGAUUCAGAAAGAAAAUUGCUUCUUAUAAAAAUUGUUUCUUAAACAAACAUGAAUUAGUUUAUAUGAAAUUAUUACACAUGCCUCUGUUUUUUUUAGUGAUGUAGCAUCAUUUUAGCUGAUAGAUUACUUAGAAUGGAGCUUAAUGAAUUUGUAGGAUCAUCAAAUAUCAGUAAUUGCGGAAAAGGUUUUGCUAUUGAAAGGUUUCAUGUCAUUUCAUUUUUUAUUGGCAGUUUAUGCAUCUGAUUUUGAAUAAAAAAUAAAGUUUGUCAGCUGUCUUGUGUAUAUUAUUUAUUUAUUCUCUCUUGAAACUAAAAUGACACGGUUUACAUAUGCAAUUCUAAUACUCCCUGUGAUUUGGUAUUCAGAAAUCCAGGCCUGUUAUUCCUUCAAACUGCCCACCUGCAAUGAGAGCUUUAAUUGAGCAAUGUUGGUCCUUGAAUCCGGAAAAAAGGCCCGAGUUCUGGCAGGUUGUUAAGGUGUUACAGCAAUUUGAAUCUUCGCUUGCUCAUGAAGGAACAAUUUCCCUGCUGCAAAACCCUUUUUGCCAAGAUCAUAAAAAGGGGCUUCACCAUUGGAUUCAAAAGCUCAGUCCUUCACAUCAAAGCAGUGGUCCUGUGCCUAAACCAAAAUUUUCAUGAAUCUUGAGUGGCCUGACUUUUGUAGUACUUUAGGUCCAUUGUAAUUAAUAUUGAAUGGUUUAAAUCUUCAAAGAAGUUUUUUUUAUAGGUUUUCUGUCACUUUAUAACAUUAUUCAUAUGAGAGUAAAUCAAUAUUAGGAUUUGUACAUUGAGGUCGUAGCAUAUUUUAUUUUCUAUGUCUUGCAUAUCACUAAUGAUAAAGUUAUUGUGCCGUAGCAAUAGUUUUAUCUUUUCUCCAAUGUCAAAAUUUUAAUUCUAUAUUUUUAAUGUUUCAUUUUUGUUUAUUUGUUGCAAUGCCCUAUGCAUACUCAACCAGUGACAGGUUUUUCAAAACUGUUCAUUUUGCUUUCUUAGUAGCAAUCUAUCAUAAUGUGUGUAGGUUAAAUAAUCAUGUACAAUUUUUUUUGAUAAAAAAUUGAAUUAGUAGAGACACUCCGUCAUGCAGAGAGAACCACCUACUAAUACAAAAAAAAUCAAUAUUUAUAAAUUCUUUUCUAUCAGGAGAAAUUUCUCAACUAACUUCUGUUGGUCCUACAAUUCAAAUUCAAAUAAUAGAAGUGUGAAUGGUAGGUCCAACAAUCAUGUAAAGAGUAAGAUACUUAUUAUUGUUAAGAUCACGGGUAUUAAAGUAAUUGGAGGAUUUAUGCAUUUUUAUACUUUUUGAAUAUCUUGGUACUUUGUAGAUCACAGGUAUAAGCUUCUGUAUCCAUGUGACAUUAAACAAGAUUUUUUUGUUCUUUAGUUUUGGGAUGUGCAUGUACUCUACAAAUUCCAACUACCUUUGAAUUCAACUAACUUGUGCACAAUAAGACAAUAAAUUAUUCUGUCAAUCAAUGGUAAAGUAUGUAAAAUUCAUUAGUUGGUCGCUGUUUGUUAAGCUUUGUGCAAGAGUCACAUUCAGUACCCUUUCACGUCAUUCACUGUAUUUGUUGUGAUGGCAUUGUUUUUUAACACUUUUACAUGAGUGAGUUAAGUAUGUGCAAUGAAUCUGCAGGUGGUUGCAUGUGAUUUCCAAAAUUAUAUUCAUAAUUUUAAACACGGCCCGGAUGGUCCAGGCAAAUGACUGGAAAGUCGACCCGGUAAUACUCAGCCGGGUUACUAGUUAGACCAGCCCGACCCGGUUUGAACACAGGAGUGACUUGACAAAGUCAAAGUUGAAAAUGGUUUAAUUACUAGGUCAAGUUUGUUUGUGUCAAUUGUUAUAUAUUAUUGACAAUUAUCCUACAGAUCUUUAAUCUUAUUUAUUUAUUUUUUCAUAUAAAUUAUUUAUUUUGUAAAAUAUACACAAAGUAAUUUUUUUUAUUAAAAAAUAUCUAGGUGGUAAGCCACGUUAGCAUUUUUCUUCACCAACAUCAUCUCAUUCCUAUCAAAAUUCAAAAUUUAGUUUCAACACCAUUUUAUAUGUAUUAUUUCUUUUUUGACUGGAAAUCGUUAAUGUAUAUUUGGAAAUUAGUAUGAAGGUGCUAACAUCCAAACAAUUACACUAUUCAUUUUUUUAGACUAACAAUCAUACUAUUCAUGUUAGCUGUAAAAUUGAAUUAGGCGUAAUUUGACCAUAGGCUAUGUCAAAACAAAUUGUGAAUGUCAUGGUGUCAUUAUUUUGUUGAAAUGCAGUGUAUUUGCUGACUUUUGAUUUCUCAAAUUGUGACUUUUGAUUUUGUGACAUGUACCCUCCCUUGUUCUAUGACAUCAUUUCUUGAUGUCGUUUUUUCUCAUCUUUUAUAUUCUCAAAAGUGAAUUCAUCAACACAAAUGUGUAUUUUGACACAAAAAAUAUUUAUAAAUUGAUCAAUUCAUAUAAUAUUUGAGAGUAGGAGAAGAAGCUUUCUCUUUCUUUAGUCCAUCCCAAUAGACAUUUUUUGAGUUAAAAAUUUUGAAUUGGGCUUUCUCUGUUCCAAAUGACAUAGUCGUAAACAAAUUUUGGGCUCUUUAGUAACAACAAGACAACCCGACAACUAAAGAAAGCAACAAGACAGCACCCCAAAACGCACCCAAAAAAAUAUUUCAUUGUCAGACAUUUUUUAUGUGAUUUUUUAAAUAAAUAAAAAAUUGGAAAAAAUGAAUUUUUUUAUUAAUUAAAAUGACGAUCAUUUUACUACUUUUCUCAAAAGGAACUUGCACAUCGUCCAUUGAAGUUACAAAUUAAAUUCUUACCAUUGAAUUGACACGUUAUUUUUACAAUAAAUUUAAUUUUAUUAAAAUUUAUAUACAAUGGCAUUUAACAUUCAAUUAUAUUUUUUUACUCAAUAUAUUUAUUUAUAUUAUCAUUAAAAUAUUAUAUCAAUAAUAAUAAUAAUUUGUUCGAAAUAAUAAUAGUAAUAAAUAUUAAUAUUAUAAUAAAGAUAAAAUAAUCAACUACAAUUAUGAUUGCAAUGUUUGUGUACAUAGUAAUACAGUACUGGGUGACACUUUCAUUAACUUCCAUACAUAUAUUUUAAUCAUUCUAUAAUGGUUAAAAAUAUGUGUGAAUUAAUGUUAUAUAUACUUUAAUAAAAAUAGAAUAUAAUUCUAGCGGUAUAUUCCGAAUUCUCUUUUGAAUUAAUGUUAUAUAUACAUAAUUCCUCAUAUUUUGAAAGCAAAAAAUAGAGUAAACAAAUAUAACGUGUCACUACUGUAACAUAAAAACCACAAAAUAAACAUAAGUACAAAACAAAUGUAUUAUAUAUGAAGAAACUAUAAGAUCAAGAUCGACAAUCAUUAGGUGAACGAAAAGACGCAGCUUAUAAUGUCGGAGUCGGCGCCAAUACUAAAAUCCUAGAGCUAAAUUACUCAUUUUUGUAGUAACAACAUUAUACUCUUAUUAGAAUUUUUCGUAUGAAGAAACUUGCACACCAGCUCCAGAUGUACAUAGCAACGCAAGUCACAAGACAGCCAUCAUAUGAUACAACUUGAUUAAUCAUAAAACCAUUCCUACUUUCACCAGAAAGAAAAAACCACAUUGGAAAAUGUGUGAUAUAUAAAGCAUUCAAGCUAUAUAUACAACACUAGAAUAAUCAGCAUCCGAUGUCAUAGAACAAUAGCUUCAAAUUGAAUCAAAGAAAUUGAGACCUGAAUUUUGUAUCUUCCUAGCCAUAAUGCACUUCCACGAGGUCAAUGCCAUAAGGGCGAUAUUCCCACUUUCAUAAACACCAAACAAGUGUCACCUACAUCAAAUCAGUUUUUUUUUAAAGCACGUAUGUUAUUUUUUUGAAUCAAUUGAUUUUUGCUUUAAAAUCAAUCUAAAUUGUAAUGCAAACACCCUUAAAUGUGAAUUGAUUAAGAGGUUUGCUAAAUUGAUCUUGAAAUAAUUCUUACGAGGGAGCUAACAAACCUCCUAAUCAAUCUAAAUGGUACGUAAAUAUAAAACACUUCUAUUUUUUUUAAUAGUAUUUAUAUUUUAUUAGAUUUUAAAUUUAUAUAUUUUAAAUUAAACAUGAAACACUUCUAUUUUUUAAUAGUAUUUAUAUUUUAUUAGAUUUUAAAUUUAUAUAUUUUAAAUUAUAUUUUAUAAAAAUAUCUCAAAUCAUAUUUAAAAUAAAAAAUUUAAUUAAAAAAAAUAUUCAUAAUAUAAUAGUGUUUACGAUUAAUGUAUCAUAUUUUAUAAAUUCAUCAAACAUUAUAUCUCUUAUUAUAUCAACAGACUAACUUUAAAAACACAUAACAUAUUUUUUUGUUUUUAAAGAAAAAAUAAAUCAUACCGUAAUUAAUUUACAACUAUGAAAUCUUGAAUUUAAAUGUAAAAUAAUAUUUAAGAUAUAACACAUUUAAACACCACCAAAUGGCUAUUUAUCCUUUAAUUUUUUAAAGUGUUGUUCGGCAUCUUUUGUUACCGUUGCACUCAGAAAUCUUAAGAUGCCACCAAUGAGGUGAUGGUAUGGGUUGUAGCCAUCGGCUUUUGACUUGGAUAAGUACAAUGAUGAAAAUUGAAAAGUAAAGUAAGACAGUUUUGGAUAAUACUCAAACUUAAAAACAAAUGCCAUUUUUAAUGGGGUUGUCACAAAUGCGUCAAUGCAUUAGUUUUUGUACUGUGCUCAUCCUGAAUUAUAAAUUUUUUUUUUGAAGUUGAUAAUAUGAUUAUUUAUGAUUAAUUUAUAUAAAAUAAUUAUUAUUUAUUUGAUGAUAUAUUAUUCACUUUAGAAAACUAAAUUCAAUUUGUUGUAGGCUCUAAGGAAUAAAAAUAGGAUAGACUGAAAUAAAGCUUUCUUGUGAGCAAUACAAUAUAUUUUUCAAUAUAUUCUUUUGUUUUUUAUUUAAAAUUUUAAAAUAUUCUACUUCAAAAAAUAUAGUAAAAUGUUCUAAUUUUUGAAUUUUUAUUAAGGUACAAUUUUUAGAUGCAAUCCUGUGACCAAAAAAAAAAUAGAAGUAAUAGUUGGUCAUUAUACACAUUUUUUCUUCUUCAUUCUUUUACAUUGAUUGAUACAAUAAAUAAUUUAAAAUAUAAAAUAUAAAAUAAUUAUAGAAAUUGAGUAGAAUUGUAGUAACAUCUAGACACUAUUUAACAAUUCUCUCAUAGUUAGCUUAAUUUGCUGUCUAUUCACUUUUAACUGAUUAUUAUUAUUUGUGAUAUUGCAAAUAAAUUAAUAAUUUUUUUCUAUUUUGCAGUCAAUUUUUUCUCAUUUUACUAUCAAUUUUAUUUAUUAAAAUAUAAAUUAGUAUAUGUUCAAUUGUUUAACCAUUGUAGCAUGUUCAAUUAUUUUAGUAUGUACACUUUUUGUUUGUUCAUGAUAUUUUUAAAUUAUUAAAAAUAAAAAAUACAUUUACUUACAUUAGAAAUAAAAUAGACGUUAAGAAUAAUAUGUAAAAUAUAUAUAUGGAUUAUAUUAGUUAUCAAAUCAUAAUCUAAUUUAUUGUUUGAGGUUACUCUAUCAUUGUCUAAUUUAUUGUCAAAAUAUUACCGAUAACUCUAUUUAAUUUCUAGAAUUUUUUUGUUUUUACCAAUUUAAGUUAAUUUAUAUUAUUAUUAAUAAAUAAUAUUUUAAAUUAAUUAUUUAUCAUUUUUGUUUAUUUUGUCAAUUAAUAUAAAAAAAAUGAAGAAAAAUAUGUGCGUUGAAGGUCACCCCUAAUUUUAUUUUGCUUCACGCAUUUCCAUAAUACGAUCUAAUAAAAAAAUAAAAAAUAUAGUAUAUAUUUUUUUUAAAAUGGAAUAUUUUGAAAAAAAAUAUAUAUAAAAUAAAAAUCCUGAACAACGUCAUGUUUCUAUUAUUUUGUGGAGAAAAAAGAAAUACUUAUUCUGAUGGAGAUCUAUUAUGAGACAUUAACUUCUUUAAGGUCCGUUCUUGUGAAUUUCUUAUUUUUUAAUUUAAAAAUCAAUUUCAAAAUCAAAGUUAAAUGGGGUGUUAAUUAUAAAUUAGUUUAUUUAUUUAUUUAUUAUUUAAAUAAUUAAAUAUAUUUUUAGUCCGUUUAAAACUAUAACAUUUUAGUUUUAGUCUUUACUAUUAAAUAAACAUAUAUUUUUAAGUCUAUAUUUUCAUUACUUCUACCUUGAAUUUUUAAAUUUAUUUUUAUUUAUACGAACUUAAAAAAAUUUAAAUUUUUGUACAAGAACUCUUUAUAAUGUUAUAAACAUACUUAAGAAAAAUCAUUCAAAAAUUCUAAAUUGAAGGAGGAUUAAUCAUGUUUUAUUUCAACAUAGAUUAAAAAUAUUUUGUGUAUAAUUUUGCAAUGACUAAAAACUAUAUUUUUAUUUCAUAGAGACUAAAAUUAAAAUGUUGAAUACACAUAGCAAUGGAGCGAGGGUGUGUUUUGCCUCCUCCACACCCUCACUCGAUUAGUCAAAGAAAAUCUACAUUCAUCUUUUUUUUUUUUUAUCAUAUGUAAAAUUUAAGUUUCUAUUCUUUCUUACGACACGAUUAAGAUUUCCAUGUCCGCACCAACAUCUAUUUAUAUAUAUAAAAUAAAAAAUUUAAAAGUCAUAUUUAUUUUAAUUAAUAUAAUAAAAUAAUUAUUAUUAUACAAUUAUAAAAUUAAAUGAAUAUUAAAAUAAUAUUUUCUAUAGAGAAGAGAUUAUAACUUUUAAUAUAUAAAAAAAUAUUAAAUAUAUUAAAUAUGUACAUGUAUAUAAAAUUUAAAAAUGACAAUAAUAUUACUAGUUGAAUACGUUAUGGGGCAGGUGCAGAGUAAUAUCAACACCUUAAAUCCAUCCAUAUUGUUGAGUUUUAAUUCCAUAGAAAAUCCGCAUUCACAUCCAAUUAAAGUGAAUUUUUUUCACUCAAAUCGAGACUGGUUAGAAUGGAUACCCAUGAUUGCAGACUGUGUUGUCGUUCAUAAUGUUACAGUUUUUUAAGACAUCUUAAUAUUUGACCAUUUUUAGUAUAUCAAAUUAAAUCCUAAUGAGUUCCUAACAUCAAUAAAUCAAUCAUUUCAAACAAACUAAGUUCUUAAAAUCAGUAAAUUAUAACAUCCUAACAUCACAAUUUAAUAUUCUAACAUAAUUUUUUUUGUUUUUGAGUCAUCUCUAAUUGGAACAUGUGUUAAUCUUUUAGUUGCACAUAUUAAACAUCGACGCAAUAAUAAAUUGCAUUAUAAAUAUAUUAAAUUAUAUAUACUAUACUAAAUUAUAUUAUUCAUAAAAUAAAUUAUUUAUGAACAUAUUCAUUCCACAAUCUAGCGGUAAAAAUAAAAAUUUUGAUAAUUAUUUUCAACUCCUAACACAUCCGGUAGUGAUAUUUCAACAAAAUAAUUAUACUUUUAAAAUAUUUAACACAUGUUAGCAAGACUCUUUUGUAAAUUGCAAAUAAAUAUCCUGACAGUACUUAAAUGCACAUCGGUGACCGUGAGUGUCCGCUAAAAAAUAUAAUUAAAUCUAUAAUAAAUAAACAUAUACUAUAUACGAUAAUACAAAAUUGUUAAAUAUAUAUAAGUUUUUCAAAAUUAUUUUAACUUAGUAGCGAUCCCCACAAGUUGAGGUUUUUUAAGCUGCAUUAAUUUGUUUUAAUAAGAUACUAUUAAUUAUACUACAUUUUUUUCUACAAUUUGUAACAAAUAUCAAUAUAAUAAAAACAUAAAUUGAUAAUAUCUCUUAAAAAAUAAAUAUGUAAAAUAAUUCAAACCUGCAGUAAAUUUAUAAUUAUAAUCAACUAUUUUAAUUUUUAAAUUACGGAGAUCUUAUAUAAGCACGUAUAUAGUAAUUGUUAUGUGGGGAUCAACAAGUAGUCCUCUCCAACAACUUCGACCAUAUGAAUACCAAAUCUAUUUUUCAAAACACAUGAUUUUUUGACACAAAUUUCAGCAUUAAACUCUGUAUAAAUGGCGGUUUUGAUUCUUUUUAUUAAUUAUUAUUUUCAAAAUACUACUAAUGUAUGACAUCUCAGUCAGGCAAUGCAAAUUGUUUAUAUGGAAACACGAUGCAAACACCCAAAUCCAAAUCACUUGGAUUUUUGUAAUAUUCAUCCAAGACUCUAAAAAUUGUUCACAUUGGUCAUCACUUACACAACACAAUUUGAACUCAGCAAUUUUAAUAGUGAACCUCUCCUUGUAUACCAACUCAUCUUUAAGCACUACGUACAUAUAUCAUCUUGUUUUCACUCAAUUUUGGAGAGUUGAUAAUCUUAGAGAGGUAGAAAAAGUAGAGUUUUUUUUUAGAGGACCCACACCCCAAGAAAAAAAUUCAAUUCAAGUGUAAAUAUUUAUGUGUUAAAGUGUGAUAUGUGUGGACCAUUCAAGGAAAAAAUUGUGUGCUAUAUGGGACUACCUGCAUAAUUCAACUAAAAUUCAACUAAAGUGAAUUAUUUAAGAAGCACAUAUUAUAUUGUUGAAGAUGUUCUAAAGUACCCCUUUGAGAUGCUCUAAAGUGAGUUGCAUCUUGUUAAGAUGAAAGUAGCUCAAGCUAAAAAAGUCUAAGAUUAAAAUGUUGGUCGGUUUAAAUAAAUACAAAGAGUUUAAUAAUAUUGUUGUUGUUAUAUAGUUCUCACUCCGUCCUAAAAUAAUUAUCAUAUUUAUAAAAAUAUUUGUCAUAAAAUAAUUAUUAUUUUUAAUUUACAAUAUAAUGUUAAUUAUCAUAUUUUAAUUAUAUAAUUUAAUUAAUAUUUUGUGUAUCACUCUCAAGUUAUAAUUUUUUAUUAUGUAUUUAUGACAAUAAAAAUAAUCUAAUAGUUGAUGCGAAUAGUUUUGUAAAAUUAUUAUUCUAUUUUAUUAAUUUAUUAUUUAUUUUAAUCAAUUUGAAAUUGUCAAAUGCGAUGAUUAUUUUGAGAUAAAAUAAAUAAUAAAAUUUUAUAUGAUGUGCUAAAAUUAUAUACAAACUUAUCAUCUACAAAAUUUAAGCUUAAUGACGUAUAGAAACGUUUUGAGUUUGCAAAUUUAUCUACUAAUAACAAAUUUUAAAGGAUAAAUCUUAUUUUUAUCUAUUAAAUUGUUACAAAAAUUGGGAUAUGUGAGAUUAUAUUGUAAAUCUUUAAAUUAGACUAAUAAAUUAUAUUUAGUUUUUCAAGUUCAUUAAACACUUAUAAAAGAAUUUACAUUUGCAUUUCUUUAAUAAUAUUAGUUGAGAUUGAAUUCACAGUACAUCGAAUUUAAUACAUGUCUUUUAUUAUUAGACUAUAUCAUUCAUGUUUUAAAAAAAAGUCUAUUCCACAUAAAAAUAAAAGUUUCUAUAACUAAUACUUUAUUCUUUUACACUUAAUUUUUAACUGUGAUAGGAUCUAUAUAUAACUAAAGUAUUUUAAAACUUUUGAAUUUUUCUUAACCUAUGGUCCCUAGAAAAAAUAGAUCUUGCUAGUCCAAAGUUUAGUUGAGAUGCUCUACCUAAAGUUCAAAGUCAAAGGUUGACAAAAAAAAAAUUGGAACUCUAAAUUUUUUAUUGAUUCAACAUUUAAGUUUUAAAGUUUGAAAUCAAUGUUGUAAUGCUGAUCAACUAUUCUUACCAUUGCAAUAGCGAUACUUCCUCCGAACUCAAAUAUCAAUAUAUCUAAAUCCCAUCGUGCUUACUACUAUUUUCCCCCUAACCUCUAAGUCUUCUCCCUUUUUUCCGGCUACCGAAACUACAAAAGUCCUCUAAACAAUUCAUCUAUAAAUUUUUGUUGACAUUUCAAUAAGUCAUUAACUAAAAAAACAAUUCCCUGAGUCGUUAAUAAGUAAGCUUUUUGAAACCCACCCAAUUUAAUCAAUUAAUAUCGUAAUAUUUAUCAAUGUCAAUUAUUAUCUAUAGCAUACAAUUAAAUUAGAUGCAAAUGAGCCGAGUUGAGUCGAACAUAAGUUCAAUUUGGCUCAACUCGACAAGAAUUGGUUUAACUGGAAAUUCAACUCGAGUUUGUCACGAAAUUAUUUUUCAACUCUAUUCAAGUUUACGGACAACUCGCUUCGCUCGAUAGUUCUAAUCAAAUAAACCAAAAGACAAAAUUGUUAGUGAAAAAGUAUUUUUAAAUGCAAUCUUUUGGUUAAUGUUUUGAUGAUAACAAAUACAUAUAAAUAAAGAACAACUAUUCCCUAACUAUAUAUGUUAAGUGUGUAGAUUAAAGAAAACAAUUAUGUUAAUAACUAUUCAAAGUAGCCUAGAUUACAAGUACUUUAGAGAUCCUCUAUUGGAGUAAAAACGUAAAAGAAAUACUACAGAAGCAAGCGCAUCAAAACAUGUUUCGCCAUAGUAGGAUAUAUCCUCUGGUAAUUUGUCAACAAGAUUUGGUAAAUUUUGCAUUCCAAAAGUAGUGAAAAAGCAUCUAUGAUAUAUUGUCUUUGAUGGUUCAAGUAGUGAACUGCCACAACUGAUUCUGCCUCAGAUAUAGUUCUGCUCAAAUUGUCUCUGCUACAUCUGCCUCUGAUGAAGCAAAUCAGACUCUACUAAAGUCUAUCUCUGAUGAAGCAAACAAGACAUUGUUAAGUCUGCCUCUGAUGAAGCAAGCAAGACUUUGUUAAGUAUGCCUCUGUAAAGCGAGCAAACUUAUGAACAAACUGCCUCUCACCAAUUGCCUAUGAUAUAUUAUCUUUGGAGAUGAAUCAAUCGUCUGAUUACCUCUGCCUCUAAUAAACCCAAUUCAAUUAUGUUCCUAUGCCUUUGAUACUCAAGCAAAAUAAUAAUUCUUAUGCCCUCUAGGUCUAACAAGAAUCCUUCUACAUGUGCCUCUGAUAAUCUCAUCAAGCGUCUGACUCAUAACUAUUAUGUAUCAUAUGGAAAAUCAAUGUUAUAAUAAAGUCAACACUUAGAGAAAAGUAAAUGUCUCUUGUAAAAAGUCAACAUGGAAUAAGUCAAUACUUAUGGUAAAAGUUAACGCUCUGACAAGAGGACAAAAUAUAAUGCAGAAAGGAAUGCACUGCCUCUGAUUAUCAACAAUGCCUCUGAUUAUCUACCUUUGAUUACCAAUAUUGCUUCUCGUCAAUUAAUACUACUUCUAGUUAUUGCCUCUUGUCAAGAAAUCAUGUUUCUGAUGUUCUUGCCUCAUGUCAACUAAACUUGCUUCUGGUACCCGUAAUUUUGGUUAAUAAAUCAUGACUCUGGUACUCCAACCUCUAAUCAAGAAAUCAUGAUUCUUGUAUUAUUAUAUCUGGUCAAGAAAUCAUGAUUCUAGUGUUCUUGCAUUUGGUCAAUAAAUCAUGCUUUUGAUGUUCUUGCCUAUGGUCAAGAAAGUAUACUUCUGGCACUCGUGCUUCUUGUCAAGAAAACACAAUUUUUGUGUUCCUACCUCUAGUCAAGAAAUAAUGCUUAUGAUGUUCUUGCAUUUGAUCACGAAAUCAUGCUUAUGGUUGUUUUGUGCAUCUGAUCAAGUACUUCAGCUUCUUAUUGUUUUUUGUUUUUGAUCAAGUACUUCUACUUCUAAUUGUUUUAUACUUAUGCUAUACAGUUUGAUUUAUUCUCAAAUGAUCUAUUGUUGAAUUCAAAUGAAACACCAUGUUGAAGGACAUAAGGCCAUUCUAUAAAGUACACAAGGCCAUUAUAUGAAGGACAUUCAUCCCUCCCUUGAAGGAUAAAGGCAAUGUUGUAAUUGAUUAUGUAAAAGAACAUGUAUUUUGAACUGAAAGAUGAUGAUAAUAACUUGCAACAUUUUAAAAGAGAAACAAACACAACACAACAAGAAAAACACAUCAAAAAGCCAUAAAUGAAAAAUCAUCUCGGUAGAGAGUUACUAGAAUUGAUGUUAAUUAGUCAAAAUGUUUUCAUACACUUGAACUGAUAUAUGAUUAAAUAUGUAAGAUCCUCACAAUGAGAGAUAGAAUCUUAGAAUCAUACUUUGUGUGAAAUCAGAAACAAACUAGAAUUGAUGCAAACUCGUCAAAAUGUUUUCAUACACUUGAAAUGAUAUAUGAUUGAAUUUGUAAGAUCCUCUCAAUGAGAGUUAGAAUCCUAAAAACAAACUUUGUGUCAAUUUAAACACAAACUUGAACUGAUGUAAAUUACCCCGUUAGUGGAAACAACACUCAUGAACCUCAACGACAGUUUUCCAGAAUAUUGAAGAAUGGUUUUGACGACAACAGUCUGAAGAGACUAGAGAAAGAAUACUUAAAGCUUAAAGAGGCAGAAUAAACAAUACUUGUAAAUCCUGGAGAGGCUGGAGAAAAAAAUACUCAAAGCCUUUAGAAGUAGAGUAAAUAAUACUCGUAAAGCCCAUAGAGGCUGGAGAAAGACUACUCAAGGUUUGAAGAUGCAUAAUAAAUAAUACUUGUAUCCUAUUGUUACAAUAGUGGAUUAAAUCUUCUACAGUACUGAGAUAAAAUCUUUCUGUAAGGGGCGAACUAGAAGUAACAAUUGUUGUGUUGUGAACUAGUAUAAAAAUAUAUAUGUCUUUCUCUUUCACUAUUUCUUUUAUCUUAGUUCUUUAUGAUUCAACUUUAUUUUCACUAAAUCUGAUUUAUAAGAGUAAGUUGAAUGUUUUGAUAAAGAAAAUUUUUGUGUAAAGAAAUCGAAGUAUAAUCUAAAAAUGGCAUACACAAUUCAAACUCUCCCUUUCUUGUAUUUUCCAUCACCUUCAAUUGAUAUCAAAGUCUGUUAUCUUGAUUAAGCACUUUAUUAAGAAAAUUGUUUGAAAUAGUAUUUUUUUUUUAAUAUUUUCUUCAAUGUGUUUAUCUCCUUCAAAACACAGUUUACCAAAAUAUGGAUGAAACGACUAUUUUUGCUUUUAUAAAAAAAUAGAUGAAGUCCUCUUGUUGGCCAUUUUUUUUGUCAACUUCAUCUUCUUUUCAAAGUCUUUUUUGUAUUUGUGCUUUUCUUGUAAAUCACUAUUCAAUGACAAAUUGGAUAAAGUUGGCAUCCUUUUGUAAGGCAUAGUGAAUUACUAAGUGAGAAUAGUCUAUUUACUAAUACUCAUCAUCUGAUAGAAAGAAAUAUUAGUGAAUUAACUAUAAUUGUUAGUGCAAAAUAAUGGAAACAUUUCAACAAUGAACCUAACCAAUCAGGGAUAAGUUUUCCAAAAACUUCAAUGAUCUGUGAUGUAUUUCAAAUGUGCAAGUAACCAUUUAAAAGAAAUUAUCAGUAGUGGAACCUCUCUCCCAACAACACAAAUUCAGAAAGAUGAAUGGCAACAAGUUAAAGAUCAUAAUCAUACCAAAGGUUAAAGGAUAUAGUCAAGCAUCAGUGUUUAAACCAAGAAUGCUUCAAAUGGAUAGAUCAAUCAUAAUCAAUCAUUUGAUCACCAUAAUUUAAGAUGAAGAAUCAAACACAAGUAUAAUAGUUGAAACAAGACUAUCCUCAAAAAAUCUUGAAAUGCAAGAGGACCAAAACUCUCUUGGAAGAUUAUCUUUUGAUCCCUCAAACUAAGAGAACUUUGAAAUAAAAUUGAGUUUAAUAACUCACCAUUUGUUCAAACUCAUGAGUAUAUCAGAAUCUUAAAAGAACUAUCUUGGCAAAUCCUCUAACUACAAGGUCUGGAGUCAUUCCUCUCACUGCUCAAGGAUAAAAUACUUGCCUCUGGUGCGUAACGUGUUUGAUUCAUCAUUUGAGAUUGACAUUUACAAAAUCAAAGCACUAUAACAAAAGGGUUGCAUAUUCUGAGUCAUAAGAAAUAUCAUAACUAAGAUAAAUCAUCCUCUGGUUAGAAGAUCAUCUGAUUAGAAAAGCCCAACAAAAUUUGGUAAGACAUGUAAAAGAGCAAAUGCAAAAUCAUCCUCGUGUGUCUUUGUCAGGUAUCAUGUACUUUACUUCAUAAUUUUUUUAUGCACUUGUUUGUGUUUACUUAUACGUUCUCGCAUUGUGUGUGCCUAUGUUUUUUUUUUUUUUUCUCAUGGCAUAUCUUGAGUCAGUAUUGUUUUUUCAAUCUUGGUUUAUGUUGUGAUGUCCUCAUUCUAUCAUCUUUCUUUGUUCAUCCAAAAAUCUAUUUUUCCUCUUAUCUAUCCUCUCUGCCUAUUUAAAUCUUUCUCUCCUCCAACAAUUUUUCAAAACCAUCCAUUUCUCUCGUAAGUUCUUUUUAUUCCAAAAAUUGCUUUUAUUUAAACUAUCAUAAACUUGAAAUCCUCUAGGAAAAAUCAAAUAUAUAUAUAUAUAUAUAUAUAUAUAUAUAUAUAUAUAUAUCAUUUUCUUUAUCAAGUCUUCAUCUUCCUAAAUGAUCAUCUUCUUAUAUUGUACUCUCAAAGACUUUAGAAUCUUCUUAAAACACGAACUACUCAACCAGAAGGGUGAAAAGUUCAGAGAUCCUAAAUUCGUUACAUAUGUGAACUAUAAUCAACAAGAUGUAUUAUCCAAAAAAGUUCACAAAAUACAUUUAAAGGUUAAUUUGUGGAACCCUUGGGUAUGAAGGUAUCCUUCUUUCUCCAAGUACCUUGAAUACAAGGAGAAAGUAAUAAAAAGAACAAGGGCAUUGGAGGGUUUGUGCCUCCAUUGAGUAUGAGAUUUAUAAGUGUUGAACAUAAUUAAAUAACCACCUUUGAGCAAUAAUAUAACACUAUAAACAAUUUUAUUUGCCUUCAUGGUAUGAAUAAAAAAUAUAUACAUUAUUUCUAAUUUUUAAAUGACACAUGUUUUAUUUCAAAACAAAAUUUAUAAAUCAAAAUAUUAAUACCGGAAGUAGUUGAUUUGAGCAACAAAUGCAAUAAUAUCUCACAUUAGACUCGUUGCAAUUUUUUUACAAUGUUAGAGAUGAAGUUUGGGUUCCCUAUAAACAAUGAAGUUGUAUGUCUUUUUAGCAACUUUCAAAUCAUAUAAAAAUGUUAGUUUUUUGAAAUAUUUUUAUUUCAUUUCAAAAUAACAUUUAUAAUACUUUCAACAUUAUUUUCAAACAAUUUAAUAUUUACACCUAAAAAAUUAUAUAAAAUUGGUGAUAUAUAUAUAUAUAUAUAUAUAUAUAUAUAUAUGGUUCAUUAAUCAAACAAUUCGAAUUAUACAUAGCUCAAGUUCAACCCAUUUAUUUAGCGAAUUCAUUUUUCAACUCAAGUUUGAUUCAUGAGCCAAGUUCAACGAGCUAAUUAUCAAAUUAAAUGUCGAACUAUUUUCGAGUUGGUUCGACUCAUUGACAGACUUAGAUUAAAUGAUUGAAACUACAAUAAAAUCUCAUUUAACUCAUUGGAUUGAAAAUAACACCUAUCGUUAACUCUAAAGUAAUGCAUUGAUGUAUUAUUGAUAAAAUGCAACGAUCUUCCUACUAAUGAAAUAUCAUUUACAUAUUGCUUUGUAACAUAUCAUUUAUCUUUAACUAUAAUUCUUGCAUAGGUACACUCAUUUACUUGUAUUACUUAAUACUUGAUGUAAUUAUCUAAGUGUUCUACAUCAUUUGCUAGAAAGGAAAUGAACUCAUUUAUGCACUUUUUUUUAUAGAUGCUACGUAAAUUUUAAUUAUUAAACAUUUUCAAUUUUCAAUGCAUCAUUAAUAUUAUGUCAUUUUCGAUGCACAUUAAUACCGAAUUACUUUUUAGAAACCAUUAAUAUUUUAUCACUCUCAAUGCACAAUUAAUUUACAAGAAUUCUCGAUGUACAUAUUUAUAAAUCUACGUGACAAUUAAUCGUUAGUCAUUUUCAAUUCAUAAUUAAUGUGCAGUCAUUCUCAAUGCACCAUUAAUGUAUAGUCAUUCUCAAUACACCAUUAAUGUUCAAUAUUUGUUAAUGCUUUUAAUAUUUUUUUAAUUGUACUCUUUAAUUAAUAAUACUUGUAUUACUUCCAAAUUAAUAUCAUCUACUUUUUUGUUUUGGUAUUAGAAGAUAUCAUAAUUACGAUAAUAAUUAACUGACACAAUUGUGAGGUUCUGAAUUCAAACUCGAGACAAGACGUCGAAUCUAACAAUAUUUAUAUUUGUAUUUUUCAGUUGAGUUAUAACCUAAAGACUAAUAUAAUUUAUUUUAUAUUAAUGAUAAUAGUGAAUAAAUCAAUAAUUAAUAAAAAUAAUUUAAUAAAAAUAUUAUUCUAUCCAUAUAUUUAUUUAUUUAUUAAAGAUUUAGAUCAUCUCAUUUUAGUAUCUCAUAUUCUCUCUCAUAUUAAGAGAGAUAGAGAUACAAAUACUUUUUUGUAUAUCAUAUAAUUUUUAUAAAAAUUAUUUUUAUGUUGCUUAAAUAUUUGUCUCUCAACAUUAGGGAAAAAAGAAAAGAAAAUGUAAUUUUUUUUAAUACAUGUGAAAUCUUAAAUUACCCAUUAUUAUAGUACAAAUGAAGCAUCAUUAAUAAGUGUGAAAUUUUAGAGAGCACAAUGCAGAGAUACUCGUUAGUGUAACCAUUUAUCGAGUCUGUAUUUGAAGUAGAAGGGAGUAUUUAAUUUACCAAUUGUUUUCCUAGUUUUCAGUACACCCUUCCCAAAUUUCUGCUGAGCUAGCACUAAAAAUCAAAAUAAAAAAAACAAUUUAAUUUCACAAAAUUUGUAUACACAUGAACAAAAACGGCAAUGAAUUUGGGCAUAAGCUCCUAUAAAUGAACCCUCUUGCUCACAUAACUCCAACAUCACUUCCCAGUUCUCACUCUCUUAAACAGAGAAAUGGCCAAAACCCUAACAUUACUGUUACUCUUACUCCAACUAACCUCUUUCACUGUCUUUUCUGNNNNNNNNNNNNNNNNNNNNNNNNNNNNNNNNNNNNNNNNNNUCUUUCCCCCAGUUACCCUCCAACUAAGUCACCGGUUCACCCACCGGCGAACGCCCCUCACCACCAUCAUCACCACCACCACAUUCACUCACCAUCCCCUGCUCCUACCCCUGUUAAUGUCCACCCUGCUCCUCCUACACAUUCUCCCUACCCUUCUACCCCUGUACCUGCUAAACCACCAACUCAUCACCACCAUGUCCAUCACCACCCUCCUCCCCCUGUUAAACCACCUGUUCACACACCUAUUGUAACCCAUCCACCAUUGUACACACCUGUUCCAACUCACCCACCACUGCACCCCCCUGUUCCAGCUCACCCACCAUUGCACCCCCCUUCAGUUCCAGCUCACCCACCAUUUCAUUCCACUCCCAUUCCUAGAAGCUUUAUUGCAGUUCAAGGUGUUGUUUAUGUCAAAUCAUGCAAAUAUUCUGGGGUUGAUACCCUCUUGGGAGC
rnacentral:lncRNA from 1 species